rnacentral:rRNA from 1 species
AGUGGGUGUAAUGUACCCACUAGCCUACGACGGGUACGGGUUGUGAGAGCAAGAGCCCGGAGAUGGAUUCUGAGACAUGAAUCCAGGCCCUACGGGGUGCAGCAGGCGCGAAAACUUUACAAUGCUGGCAACAGCGAUAAGGGGACCUCGAGUGCUGGGUUACAAACCUGGCUGUUGGGCUGCCUAAAAAGCAGUCUAUAGCAAGGGCCGGGCAAGACCGGUGCCAGCCGCCGCGGUAACACCGGCGGCCCGAGUGGUAACCGUUAUUAUUGGGUCUAAAGGGUCUGUAGCCGGCUGGUUAAGUCUCUUGGGAAAUCUGGCAGCUCAACUGUCAGGCUGCUAGGGGAUACUGCUUGGCUUGGGACCGGGAGAGGUGAGAGGUACCUUGAGGGUAGGGGUGAAAUCUUGUGAUCCUCGGGGGACCACCAGUGGCGAAGGCGUCUCACCAGAACGGAUCCGACGGUAAGGGACGAAAGCUAGGGGCACGAACCGGAUUAGAU